CUCACCUGCAGGAUUGUGCAAUGGGGAAGGAAGGAGGGUGUUAUGCUUUCUCAUAAAGUAGAUGACAUUGUGGGGUAGCCCAGUAGGGUCCUGUGUAAAGGCUGCUCUGUGGGAAGGAAAGAAAGAGAUCUUUCUAUGCACCAUGUUCUCCGUUAUCUGAAUGACCUCCUGGUCAGGUCUUGAGGAGGAGCUAUUAGGUUGUCACAUUUUCUGUACAGGAUUCAGAAGAAAGAGGGAUGCAAUUUUGUGCUAUCAGUUCCUCAAAAUGGAUGAUUUUCCUGUUUUAUGGGAUAUGAAGCAGCCCUUCCUUUCUUUGCAUAAGCCCAUACAACACGUAGAAGGACUGCUGCGAGCACAUCCAACAUUCUCCCCAGGUGGCCCACCAAGACAAAGCCUAGCAGCCAGAUGCCCAGGGUUUGCACCCCAAAUGGAAGCUGUUCUUCCCCUCACUUUUGCAGGACCUGUUCAGAAGUUGGGAUUGUGCUGAAAGCUGGAACACAAACCUUCUUGGAUGUCUAGCAGCCGUGACUUCCCAAAGUGCUGAGUAACAUAUUUCAGAGUUGUGUAUUUGGGCAUGUGCAAGUUACUGUGUGUGGCAGAAAUAAAGUGUCUUCCCUUUUCUUA